AUUGAACGCUGGCGGCAGGCCUAACACAUGCAAGUCGAGCGGAGCGGCGGACGGGAGAGUAAUGCCUAGGAAUCUGCCUGGUCGUGGGGGAUAACGUCCGGAAACGGGCGCUAAUACCGCAUACUAUCAGAUGAGCCUAGGUCGGAUUAGCUAGUUGGUGGGGUAACGGCUCACCAAGGCGACGAUCCCUAGCUGGUCUGAGAAGAUGACCAGCCACACUGGGACGGAGACACGGUCCAGACUCCUACGAGAGGCAGCAGUGGGGAAUAUUGCACAAUGGGCGCAAGCCUGAUACAGCCAUGCCGCGUGUAUGAAGAAGGCCGUCGGGUUGUAAAGUACUUUCAGCGGGGAGGCGUUACCCGCAGAAGAAGCACCGGCUAACUCCGUGCCAGCCGCCGCGGUAAUUC
rnacentral:rRNA from 1 species